GACGAACGCUGGCGGCGUGCUUAACACAUGCAAGUCGAACGGAAAGGCCCUGCUUUUGUGGGGUGCUCGAGUGGCGAACGGGUGAGUAACACGUGAGUAACCUGCCCUUGACUUUGGGAUAACUUCAGGAAACUGGGGCUAAUACCGGAUAGGAGCUCCUGCUGCAUGGUGGGGGUUGGAAAGCUUCGGCGGUUGGGGAUGGACUCGCGGCUUAUCAGCUUGUUGGUGGGGUAGUGGCUUACCAAGGCUUUGACGGGUAGCCGGCCUGGGAGGGUGACCGGCCACAUUGGGACUGAGAUACGGCCCAGACUCCUACGGGAGGCAGCAGUGGGGAAUAUUGCACAAUGGGCGGAAGCCUGAUGCAGCAACGCCGCGUGCGGGAUGACGGCCUUUGGGUUGUAAACCGCUUUCGCCUGUGACGAAGCGUGAGUGACGGUAAUGGGUAAAGAAGCACCGGCUAACUACGUG
rnacentral:rRNA from 1 species